UACAGAGGGUGCGAGCGUUGUCCGGAAUCACUGGGCGUAAAGGGCGCGUAGGUGGCGCUCCAAGUCCGUGGUGAAAGCUCGAUGCUCAACAUCGAGUCGGCCACGGAGACUGGAGGGCUCGAGCACUGUAGGGGCAGAUGGAAUUCCGGGUGUAGCGGUGGAAUGCGUAGAGAUCCGGAAGAACACCAGUGGCGAAGGCGGCCUGCUGGGCAGUUGCUGACGCUGAGGCGCGACAGCGUGGGGAGCAAACAGG
rnacentral:rRNA from 1 species